rnacentral:rRNA from 1 species
AAAUUGAAGAGUUUGAUCAUGGCUCAGAUUGAACGCUGGCGGCAGGCCUAACACAUGCAAGUCGAACGGUAACAGGAAGAAGCUUGCUUCUUUGCUGACGAGUGGCGGACGGGUGAGUAAUGUCUGGGAAACUGCCUGAUGGAGGGGGAUAACUACUGGAAACGGUAGCUAAUACCGCAUAAUGUCGCAAGACCAAAGAGGGGGACCUUCGGGCCUCUUGCCAUCGGAUGUGCCCAGAUGGGAUUAGCUAGUAG